UCCUCCGUGGCGCAAUUGGCUAGCGCGUCUGACUGUUAUUCGACUUAAAUUCGACGUUAUUUCGGAUCUCAAAAAUCAGGAGGCUGGUGGUUCGAGCCCACCCGGGGGAG